GUACGGGAGGCAGCAGUGGGGAAUUUUGGACAAUGGGGGCAACCCUGAUCCAGCCAUUCCGCGUGAGUGAAGAAGGCCUUCGGGUUGUAAAGCUCUUUUGUCCGGAACGAAACGGCUACGCCUAAUACGCGUGGCUACUGACGGUACCGGAAGAAUAAGCACCGGCUAACUACGUGCCAGCAGCCGCGGUAAUACGUAGGGUGCGAGCGUUAAUCGGAAUUACUGGGCGUAAAGCGUGCGCAGGCGGUUUUGUAAGCCAGAUGUGAAAUCCCCGGGCUUAACCUGGGAAUGGCAUUUGGGACUGCAAGGCUGGAGUACGGCAGAGGGGACUGGAAUUCCUGGUGUAGCAGUGAAAUGCGUAGAGAUCAGGAGGAAUACCGAUGGCGAAGGCAGGUCCCUGGGCUGAUACUGACGCUCAUGCACGAAAGCGUGGGGAGCAAACAGGAUUAGAUACCCCGGUAGG
rnacentral:rRNA from 1 species